GAAACCAGGUGAUCUACCCUUGGUCAGGUUGAAGUUCAGGUAACACUGAAUGGAGGACCGAACCGACUUACGUUGAAAAGUGAGCGGAUGAACUGAGGGUAGCGGAGAAAUUCCAAUCGAACCUGGAGAUAGCUGGUUCUCUCCGAAAUAGCUUUAGGGCUAGCCUCAAGUGAUGAUUAUUGGAGGUAGAGCACUGUUUGGACGAGGGGCCCCUCUCGGGUUACCGAAUUCAGACAAACUCCGAAUGCCAAUUAAUUUAACUUGGGAGUCAGAACAUGGGUGAUAAGGUCCGUGUUCGAAAGGGAAACAGCCCAGACCACCAGCUAAGGUCCCAAAAUAUAUGUUAAGUGGAAAAGGAUGUGGCGUUGCCCAGACAACUAGGAUGUUGGCUUAGAAGCAGCCAUCAUUUAAAGAGUGCGUAAUAGCUCACUAGUCGAGUGACACUGCGCCGAAAAUGUACCGGGGCUAAACAUAUUACCGAAGCUGUGGAUUGUCCUUUGGACAAUGGUAGGAGAGCGUUCUAAGG
rnacentral:rRNA from 1 species